rnacentral:rRNA from 1 species
GAUGAACGCUGGCGGCGUGCCUAAUACAUGCAAGUCGAGCGAACAGACGAGGAGCUUGCUCCUCUGACGUUAGCGGCGGACGGGUGAGUAACACGUGGAUAACCUACCUAUAAGACUGGGAUAACUUCGGGAAACCGGAGCUAAUACCGGAUAAUAUAUUGAACCGCAUGGUUCAAUAGUGAAAGACGGUUUUGCUGUCACUUAUAGAUGGAUCCGCGCCGCAUUAGCUAGUUGGUAAGGUAACGGCUUACCAAGGCAACGAUGCGUAGCCGACCUGAGAGGGUGUUCGGCCACAUGGGAACGGAGACACGGUCCAAACCCCUACGGGAGGCAGCAGUAGGGAAUCUUCCGAAAGGGGGGAAAGCCUGACGGAGCAACCCCGGGUGAGUGAUGAAGGUCUUCGGAUCGUAAAACUCUGUUAUUAGGGAAGAAAAAAUGUGUAAGUAACUAUGCACGUUUGGACGGUACCUAAUCAGAAAGCCACGGCUAACUACGU